rnacentral:lncRNA from 1 species
GGAUUUGCCGCCGCGCUUGGGAAGCCGCCACCGCCGCCGCUGCUGCAUGGCACUAGGCUCCCGGCGGGGCAGGUUCCGCAGCCGGCACCGCUCUGGCUAGGCGCACGGAGGCGCCUUGCUUAGUCUGACCCUUAUUUGGCCAGGCGUAAAACUUGUCCUGCCUAAAAGCCUACUGAGACCUCCUAACUGGUCUAAUCCGCGGGAGACGCCAAAGGCGGCGGCCGUUUGUGCGCACAGGAUUUUUCUUGGAGCUGUAGCAGUCUAGGAAGCCAGGGUGGAACUUUUGCUAAGCUCCCGUUGUAAGCCCAGAGCUGUAAUAACUGCUGAGACACAACCAGCAGUAUACAGGCUCCAGUUGGAAAUCGAGAACUUUCCAGGGCUGUCACCCAGGCUGGAGUGCAGUGGUGCCAUCACAGCUCACUGCAGCCUCGACCUCCUAGGCUAAAGUGAUCCUCCCAACUCAGCCUCCCGUAGCUGGGACUACAGGAAUGUGCCACGCCCAGAGGAGGACAUACAAAGGAGUCCUGGCUAAUGAGAGAUAAGCAUGUGCCUGCUGUGGAGCUUCUUGGAAAGUUUCAACUGGUAAAAGGGGAAGAAUUGAACACAGAAGUGAUGGCAAGAGAUGGUAAACUCCUGCAAAGCAGAUUGUUUGGUUCUUCUUCCUUCACGGUGCCUGACCCAUCGUUCUGCAGAUAUUAGUCACCACUUGUCUUGAGUGGCUACCUGGGGUUAAGAAAAAAGCUCUGCCCUGAAUGCCAAUGGGAAGGACAGCUGUUGCAGCUCCUGAGUGCAGGCCAAGGAAGGCAUUCACCUUCAUGAAAACCAGGACUACUGUGCAUGACAAUGAACUACUGGAUAGAGACUGAUGCCUUUAAGAUAGUCCUACUUUCAAUCUUCUAUCAUGGAGAAUAUCCAAUCAAAUGAGAAGUGGAACAAGUCAAAACAUGUUCCAGGCAAAAUGAAGGAACAAGGAUGACUGGUGGAGAGUAAGCAGUCUGCAUGGUGUGAUGGCUGGCUGAGGUGGUCUUGUGGAUCUGCGACACUGGAGGAAGUGCUGUCCUGGGAGGAAAGUCUGGCAAAGCAAGCCUGGAUCAGUGGAAGGGCUUGAGCAGCAGGCUGAGCAGUAUGGGCUUUGGACUACAGGUCUGUGCUCCGACACCUCAUCAUGAGAGAGGACUUCCCUA